CCAGUGACUUUGUUCAACGGCCGCGGUAUCCUAACCGUGCGAAGGUAGCGUAAUCACUUGUUCUUUAAAUGAGGACUAGUAUGAAUGGCCCCACGAGGGCUGCACUGUCUCCUUUUUCUAAUCAAUGAAACUAAUCUCCCCGUGAAGAAGCGGGAAUUAUCCUAUAAGACGAGAAGACCCUAUGGAGCUUUAAACAAUUGAAACAUUUGCUUUUCUCCUAACUCCUCCCGAGCUCUUUAUUUUUAUUUAAGCAUUAUUAUUUCUAGUUUUAGGUUGGGGUGACCACGGAGCAAAACUAAACCUCCAUGAAGAAAUGAAUAUUUUUAAGCCACAAACUACUUUUUUAAGCAUCAACAAAUUGACCUUCAUUGACCCAAUAUAUUGAUCAACGAACCAAGUUACCCUAGGGAUAACAGCGCAAUCUACUUCAAGAGCUCAUAUCGACAAGUAGGUUUACGACCUCGAUGUUGGAUCAAGGUAUCCUAGUUG
rnacentral:rRNA from 1 species